rnacentral:rRNA from 1 species
GGAUAACCUGGGAAACUGGGGAUAAUACCGGAUAGGCAAUUAGUCCUGCAAUGGUUUUUUGUUUAAAUGUUUUUUCGCCUAAGGAUGGGUCUGCGGCCGAUUAGGUAGUUGGUUAGGUAAUGGCUUACCAAGCCGUUGAUCGGUACGGGUUGUGAGAGCAAGAGCCCGGAGAUGGAACCUGAGACAAGGUUCCAGGCCCUACGGGGUGCAGCAGGCGCGAAACCUCCGCAAUGUGAGAAAUCGCGACGGGGGGAUCCCAAGUGCCAUUCUUAACGGGAUGGCUUUUCAUUAGUGUAAAAAGCUUUUGGAAUAAGAGCUGGGCAAGACCGGUGCCAGCCGCCGCGGUAACACCGGCAGCUCUAGUGGUAGCAAUUUUUAUUGGGCCUAAAGCGUCCGUAGCCGGUUUAAUAAGUCUCUGGUGAAAUCCUGUAGCUUAACUGUGGGAAUUGCUGGAGAUACUAUUAGACUUGAGACCGGGAGAGGUUAGAGGUACUCCCAGGGUAGAGGUGAAAUUCUGUAAUCCUG